UGGAUUGAUGAUGAGUAUGUGUGGGGUAUCUGAAUCCAAUAUUUUGAUUAAACCUGGUCUGCGGCUGCGAGCUCCUC
ensembl:snoRNA